rnacentral:rRNA from 1 species
UACGUAGGGUGCAAGCGUUGUCGGGAAUUAUUGGGCGUAAAGAGCUCGUAGGCGGUUUGUCGCGUCGAAUGUGAAAACCCGGGGCUCAACCCCGGGCCUGCAUUCGAUACGGGCAGACUAGAGUUCGGUAGGGGAGUCUGGAAUUCCUGGUGUAGCGGUGAAAUGCGCAGAUAUCAGGAGGAACACCGGUGGCGAAGGCGGGACUCUGGGCCGAUACUGACGCUGAGGAGCGAAAGCGUGGGGAGCAAACAGG